rnacentral:misc_RNA from 1 species
GGAAACGGUUGACACGUCUCGCGCAUUGUGAUUGGCCAACGCGUUGCAAACUCUUGGAGGCGCACCAUUGUUAAUCACUCGUAGUUCUGUUUGACGCCUCAUUACAUUGAUAGAAAACAUAUUUUGCACAAGCUUUUGGUGGGCAGAUUAUGUACGGUAAAUUCUAUCCGCCCCGAGCAGAAGCAGCCCCUCAUCGGUUGAAAAGAGCCUUAUUAGUCGGAAGUGUUGUUUUUUUGAUAGCGAUGCGACCGUAAGGCGUGCAUUUCUUCAAGUUAGUCGCUCGAGAACCAGCAAAGUUUAAUUCCUGCCCAAAAAGCCUCCUCCCUAAGACUAUUGCAGGCUCUCUUGGUCCACUGAGCUCGAGGCUCAUAAGGAAAAGAAUCAUGCUUUUGCUGAUUUAAUUAGAAAAUUCUCACACUACGUUGCCUUAUUCACGUUUUAGCGCAUCUAUAAAAAAACGGAAACGUUUGCACGUAUGUAGACAGUAAAUGGUGCGCAUUGUACACGUUUUUCAUCGAGUUAUUUAUUCCACAGUGUUUUGAUCUAUGCCCCAAUCAAACAACACGGUCACGCGCAUGGGAACCAAUACAAUUUCAGAAGCUGCGAAAGUGUCGACUUUCCUCAUAAUUUAUGCAUGCCUUCAUGGAGUGAGGUCAAGUCUCCCGUCUAAACACACUUGUAAGCCUGGUAGCCCAAUGUUGUGAAACAGAACGUAGUUGUAGCAGAAUGAUUGACCUCGCUAUCAUGCUAAAAACCACUGUUGCAUGAGCGCUACAAAUAAUUGCGUAGGCAAGGCGGGAGGCACGUUCAGUCAAUCAACUUUGCCUACAUCUUAUUUACAGCAACUUUUGGGAACAUGCUUCGGUGAAGUUUGACACAUCUUUGUGGCAAAUGUUUCCUGGCUUGGUGGAUAGCUAAAAACAAGGUAUUGAUCGUCAGUCCGAAUAUUGAGGUCACUCUUGAAAGUAAUGCGCAUGUGCUAGCAUCAAAGGUAGUACAAGGUAGUUUUCGAAUAUGCCCCAAACGCCAUUUCAGUGAUCGACAUUUAUAUCGUCUGUGGCAUUCGUCCAAAUCAUUGAGUGACAACUGACUUUGUUGAAACAGCAAAAUGCAGUUCUGCGGCAGGAGCAUUGCAGUCGUAACGGAACCAAAAAACUGGACGAUGUAAACUUUAGUGGGUUACGUGAUAUAUCAAGGCUUCGCCACAGGUAAAGGCGGACAGUAUCGCCACCUGUUGUGUGCAGUUCGAAUCAUUUAUGUUGAUAUGCACUGCAUUACCAUGUGGAGCGGUCUGAUUAUCCGCGCGUCGCUGGUCGUACUCUCGUGGUUUACCGUGUCCCUCCGCGCUGCUACCCCGUCUUGUGGCGGGUCAUUCUCCCGCAGUGUUCCUUUGACCUGCCUAUCUCCUAACCUUGCCUUGAGCAACCACUUGCUCAAGAGCUACACCAAGAGGUCCCCGGUUGUGUGUGUGGCCGCCUGCAUCAAGGAAGACCGGUGCGUCUCCGUGAACUACGAGGGUGUGGGAGGCAUCUGCGAAUUGAACGAGAGCAGCAAGGAUGCACACCCGGCAGACAUGGAGAUAAGAGAUGGAUGGCGACACUAUGGCACAUUGCCAGGAACAGUCCCGACCAAGGAGAUAUGCCCCAUCAUAUCAACUAAGAGUCCAGAAACCACCAUGGAUACAACUACCACUCCCUCAACAACCACCCAAUCCACAACCUCCCAGCCCACGACCACUCAGGUAACAAGUCUUCAACCGUCAACCACUCGAACUACGACUAUUCAACCGACAACUACUCAACCGACAACCACUCAAACAACGACUUUUAUUCCGACCACGGCAUUAAUCACAACAGAGAAACCACCCCUUGACUGUUGGGAUAUACAUGCAACUUCACCCGAACUUUCGAGCGGUGAGUACACUGUCUAUCCAACAACGCGAGCAGGAUCUUUGCAAGUCUAUUGUGACAUGGACACCGAUGGCGGGGGGUGGACAGUAUUUCAGAGGCGAGUGUCCAACAGCCAGGAUUUCUACCAGAACUGGGCCGCCUACAAGGCAGGCUUCGGCGACCUAUCCACCAACUUCUGGCUGGGCAACGACGCUCUUCACGAGCUGACCGCGCAACGAGACUACGAGCUACGGAUCGAACUGCAGUCAUUCUCGGCGAUCUCCACCUACGCCAAGUACGGGCUGUUCCAGGUCGCUGACGAGGCCGACAAGUACCGGCUGAACCUGGGGAACUUCUACGGCUCCUACACGGCAGACGACUCACUGACCUACCACAACGGCAUGUCUUUCUCCACACUGGACCAAGACAACGACGUCGACCUGAGUCGGCACUGUGCCCAGUCCUUUCGCGGUGCCUGGUGGUAUCAGAACUGCUUCGCAUCCAACCUGAACGGGCCCUUCAUCAACACUGAGAGCGUCUCCCAAAAGGGCCAGGGUAUAAUAUGGGGGGCUUGGCUGACCAUCUACAAUUCGCUGAAAUUCGCUGAGAUGAAGUUGCGCCCCGUGUCAGCUCAAUCAGGACCUAAGGAUUGUUGGGACCACUAUACACAGGGACAGACAGUCAGUGGGUUAUACAACAUUCACGUGACGGGAAAGGUGGAGGCUUUGCAGGUGUACUGUGAUAUGGACGACGUUGGUGGAGGGUGGACAGUGAUUCAACGUCGAGUAGAUGGCUCAGGGGAUUUCUAUCUUGACUGGGCUGAUUACAAGGCAGGAUUUGGCGACCACAGUAGCGAAUUUUGGUUCGGCAAUGACAACCUCCAUCUCCUGACCAAUCAGGCCUCGUAUCAACUCACCGUGAAGCUGGAAAGAUGGAAUUCUGUGAUAAAAUAUGCAAACUAUGAACAAUUCUCAAUAGCAAACGAGACCGAUUUGUAUCGUCUGUCGGUCAGUGGUUUCUUUGGAAGUUCGGGUAUUGGUGACUCCAUGAAUUAUCACAAUGGGAUGGUUUGGUCCACACGAGAUCGCGACAAUGACAACGACGAAGUCCGCCAUUGCGCCCAGAACAAAGAGGGAGCGUGGUGGUAUGACGCAUGUGAGACGUGUAACCUGAACGGUCCUUACGUGCCCUACCCGGGCACUCUUUCGAUCGAAACAAGAGGCAGGGGGAUCGUCUGGGGUACGUGGCUAUUCCAAGAGUACUCGUUCCCGAAAGCGGAGAUGAAGGUCCGACCGACACACGUGGGUUUCUCGCUGUAGCGGAAGUGACGGCCAGUAAAGACAGCGGGCCUAAUGGGAGGGCUGUAUGUGUCGGGUGCCCAUACGUUUUUUUCUUGCCUCUGUCUUGAAUUCUGUAUUUAAUCACAUGACUGGGUGAUAAAAACGCAUAAUUAUUACAUCGUAAUAUCAUAGUCCCCUCCCCACAAUCCAAACUACAAUCCAAACCACAUUACAAGGACUGCUUAUACCAGACAACUCGUAUUCAGUGGUGUCUGUUAUACUUUCGUUGAUAAUAUUGAACUUCAGUGGAACUUAGCAGCGAAUUGGCACAAAACGCGAUCAGCUAUCGCAAAACUGUAAAUAUUUGACGAUCGAACGAUUAAAGUCCAUUUUAGGUUCAUUUAAACUUCGUUUUUAGAUAUAAGUUCCCUUACAUAUUGUCUCCCGAGAUUAAAACAAACAUGCAGGUUCUCCGUGUGAAACGGAUUUUAAAAAUAAAGAUUGUACUUUAGAGGAAACCAUGACUGCAACCAACGCAGUGAACCCAACGGCGCUGCACAUAGCCCGUCCACGUCAACGAGCCGAGCAACGGAUACAGUCUAAUUAUACAGAACCAUGCAAGCUUUCGUCAUCUGGAUAAAAUCCACGACACUUCGGGUGAAGAAAAUAUUGCAAAGAAUUCAAACCAGAGGUAUACCAAAAAUGAGUGACCGCUAUGAGGUUAGCACCCUCUAAGGGACGGCACUCCCUGGCCUCACCUCGGAUGCUAUCAGUCCCUUGGAUGUCAAACAUCGUAUCCAUCACCAGCCACCAUGCAUCACCAGUCAUUUCUUUUUUCUCAAAUUAUUAUGCAACAGUGUCUUCGUAAUUGCGUAGUGAUUAGUAUACACUAUUACUAAUACUUAUAUCUGCAUAAAAACAGAAAGAUGUAAGACAUUAGAAGAAUUACAGAUAUUAUUAAUAUAAUUAAUGAAUAAUAAUGUCCUCAUUGGGGGACUCCACGAGUGAUGGUCUGCUCUGAAGAUAGACGAGAAUUGUAAUAAACAAACUGCCUUCUUUUCAUAUGUAACUCCUAAACCAGUCCAAGGCCAACACUCGUACACCGAGAUGGUCAAGUUUAUUAAGAAGGAUAUGAUGAUUUAGAGUGUCAAAAGCCCUGGGCAGGUCCAGGAAAAUACCGAUAAUCUUGCUAAAGAUGUCGAGAAUAGCAAACUUCGUAUAGAGUGGUUAGCUCUAAAACCAUAUUGAGAUUUGGACGACAAACCGUGCUUAUCAAUAAGUGCAUGUACAUGUAAUCAAACAGUUAAAAACUAGCUUCUCCUAAAAAAAAAACAAACAAAAAAAAAAAACCCAAAAAACAGGUAGAAUAGUAGUGGGUCUUGUACUAGUUCGUGUCUACUAUACUACUCUUAUAAAUUGGAACCACUUGACCAAUUUUCAGUUCAUUAAUUGGAAAGAUCGUUCAGAGAUCGACUGGUUAAAUAGCAAAGCAAGUGGUUAAGCUGGAGCAUUCUUUUUUUAUAUAAAUUAAUCAAACAAUGAAGUAACCCAAGCCAUCCCAGCCUUGGGCUUUACCAGGAUGGGAUUACAUUCCGAUACAUUCAGUUUCAGCUUGCGUAUCGGGAUUUAAAGAUAAAGAAUGUGGACAUCUGUCUCUGAGGAAGGAGUGAUGAGAACAUAUAUCGGGGACCCUCAGUGAAUCGAGGACCAUUGCACUUCAUUCUUCAAGGUUCCCGAUUGCAAAAACAAACCCACAAAAUGUAGACCUCUCCCUUUCCACUUAAUUCAAGCGUACCUUACGCAUUUUGAACAGUAUAGGGGAUCAGUCACAUUAGCAGUGUUCUAACACCCAAAUCAUUUUAUAUUUCCAGUAAGAACAAGCAUGCAGGCUGUAAUUUAAAUGAAAAGGUAGGUCCAUGUACGAUCUGACGAUCUUUGCAUUAAAAAUGGACAAAACAAUUUAACCUGCAAGUUUGGAUAUUAGAAUGGACAUUGAUUUUUAUCUGGAAAUAGAACCCCCGAUAUCAAUCCAGUUCGAGCCUCCGUACUGAUGCACUCGAACUUAAAGCACGGGGUAUGGAGUGCUCAAGGCAUAGAGAACGUGGAAGACAACCAGGGAAACACUGAUAACGUGACAGGACUAUGUAGCCCCCUUUGUACCGUACUCUCCCUUUUGGUAGAGAUCCUCAGUAUCAAAUGGUCAGUCUUGUUGCGGUUCAAUAUGGAAUAUGCCUGGCUAGUUAUCUUUUAAAAAAUCGCUUUCCUUUAAAAUUUAGAAUGGUAUGAAAUCUGAUCCUUUUCUCUUGUACUGUUGAAUAUCCACAGUCUUCACUCACUUUACGCAAUACUGUCAAUUGAGCAUUGUUCUGCCCAAUGCGCACAUGAGCCCCGUUAUUGGUUUUUUAAAGGAAAUGAAUGCUUUGGACAAGAGUGCAAGACUGUAUUUUGGUGAAAGGAGGAUGAAACACGUACUUAAAAGUACUGCAGGGACUCGCCUCAUGGUUACUAUUCGGCAACUUCAGGAAGUUCAGGAUGAGAUUAUCGAGUCUACACCAACCCAAAACUAAGAGCAGAGGAGGCCACUCAACUCGCCAGCAAUAAACUCGGAAGUGUACAAAAAUUCAUUCUUUCCCGUACAAUUAAAGAAUGGAAUCGUCUCCACACUACUAUAGUCACACACAA